rnacentral:rRNA from 1 species
AUUGAACGCUGGCGGAAUGCUUUACACAUGCAAGUCGAACGGCAGCACGGACUUCGGUCUGGUGGCGAGUGGCGAACGGGUGAGUAAUGUAUCGGAACGUGCCCAGUCGUGGAGGAUAACGUAGUGAAAAUUACGCUAAUACCGCAUACGAUCUAUGGAUGAAAGCGGGGGAUCGCAAGACCUCGCGCGAUUGGAGCGGCCGAUAUCAGAUUAGGUAGUUGGUAGGGUAAAGGCCCACCAAGCCAACGAUCUGUAGCUGGUCUGAGAGGACGACCAGCCACACUGGAACUGAGACACGGUCCAGACUCCUACGGGAGGCAGCAGUGGGGAAUUUUGGACAAUGGGCGAAAGCCUGAUCCAGCCAUUCCGCGUGCAGGAUGAAGGCCCUCGGGUUGUAAACUGCUUUUGUACAGAACGAAAAGGUUUCUACUAAUACUAGGAGCUCAUGACGGUACUGUAAGAAUAAGCACCGGCUAACUACGUGCCAGCCGCCGCGGUAA